UACGUAGGGUGCGAGCGUUGUCCGGAUUCAUUGGGCGUAAAGGGCGCGUAGGCUGCGGGGCAAGUCGGGUGUGAAAUCUCAGAGCUCAACUCUGAAACUGCACUCGAUACUGCUUUGCUCGAGGACUGGAGAGGAGAUUGGAAUUCACGGUGUAGCAGUGAAAUGCGUAGAUAUCGUGAGGAAGACCAGUGGCGAAGGCGGAUCUCUGGACAGUUCCUGACGCUGAGGCGCGAAGGCCAGGGGAGCAAACAGG
rnacentral:rRNA from 1 species